rnacentral:rRNA from 1 species
CAGCAGCCGCGGUAAUACGAAGGGUGCAAGCGUUAAUCGGAAUUACUGGGCGUAAAGCGUGCGUAGGCGGUGAGUUAAGUCUGCUGUGAAAUCCCCGGGCUCAACCUGGGAAUGGCAGUGGAUACUGGCUCGCUAGAGUGUGUCAGAGGAUGGUGGGAUUCCCGGUGUAGCGGUGAAAUGCGUAGAGAUCGGGAGGAACAUCAGUGGCGAAGGCGGCCAUCUGGGACAACACUGACGCUGAGGCACGAAAGCGUGGGGAGCAAACAGGAUUAGAUACCCCAGUAGUCCCUGUCUCUUAUAA